CCUACGGGGGGCAGCAGUGAGGAAUAUUGGUCAAUGGCCGGGAGGCUGAACCAGCCAAGUCGCGUGAGGGAAGACGGCCCUACGGGUUGUAAACCUCUUUUGUCAGGGAGCAAGGUGCAGGUCGGGACCUUCUGCGAGAGUACCUGAAGAAAAAGCAUCGGCUAACUCCGUGCCAGCAGCCGCGGUAAUACGGAGGAUGCGAGCGUUAUCCGGGUUUCUUGGGUUUAAAGGGUGCGCAGGCGGACGCUUAAGUCAGCGGUAAAAGCGCGGGGCUCAACCCCGCUCCGCCGUUGAAACUGGGUGCCUUGAGAGCGCGAAGGGUAGGCGGAAUGCGGGGUGUAGCGGUGAAAUGCAUAGAUAUCGCGCAGAACUCCGAUCGCGAAGGCAGCAUACCGGCGCGCAACUGACGCUCAUGCACGAAAGCGUGGGUAUCGAACAGGAUUAGAUACCCGGGUAGUC
rnacentral:rRNA from 1 species